CCUACGGGCGGCUGCAGUCGAGAAUCAUUCACAAUGGGGGAAACCCUGAUGGUGCGACGCCGCGUGGGGGAAUGAAGGUCUUCGGAUUGUAAACCCCUGUCAUGUGGGAGCAAAUUAAAAAGAUAGUACCACAAGAGGUAUAGACGGCUAACUCUGUGCCAGCAGCAGCGGUAAUACAGAGGUCUCAAGCGUUGUUCGGAAUCACUGGGCGUAAGGGGUGCGUAGGCUGUUUCGUAACUCGUGUGUGAAAGGGGCGGGCUCAACCCGCGAACGGAACAUGAUACUGGGAGACUAGAGUAAUGGAGGGGGAACCGGAAUUCGCGGUGUAGCAGUGACAUGCGUAGAUAUCGAGAAGAACACUCGUGGCGAAGGCGGGUUCCUGGACAUUAACUGACGCUGAGGCACGAAGGCCAGGGGAGCGAAAGGGAUUAGAUACCCGGGUAGUC
rnacentral:rRNA from 1 species